GCGAAAGCCAUGCUAAUCGUGUCCUGCGAUUUCACACGAGGCAGUAGGAUCCCUGGUUUGAAAAUAGGAAAUGGGCAAGAAGGGAAAGAAACCAACAUCACAAGGAGAUUCCUAAUCUGUGGAGGCACAGAUGGCUCCUGGGUUGCAAAGGUACAUAAAUGCUAAGGGAAAGAAGAUUAUAUCUGUUUGGAAUUGAAGGCUUCCCUUUUAAAUCCACAAAGCUGGGUGAAUCUCCUAGAAGUCCUUUAUGGGCUUGGCAGGAGCCAAGGUGUUAAAGGCCAAAGCCCACCAAGGGCCAGCUCACUUUCCCAUCUGCUGGGAGAUGGCCACACAGCAGGCCACCUCGGCCCCAGUACACCUUCCCCAUCUCCGGGCUCCACGCUGCAGACCUGAGUCCCCCUGGGUGCCCAGUCCAUGCUAACAGUACAGGGACAUCCUGCUCCGGCGCAUGGCCUCGCUGAUCAGGUAGGCGGGGCUCAGCUCGGGCUCCUCGGUCAUGAC